rnacentral:sRNA from 1 species
GCUGGCUCAUGUACAAGUCCCUUGGAACAGGGCGUCAUAGAGGGUGAGAAUCCCGUACUUGACAUGAAUAACCAGUGCUCUGUGAUACAUUUUCAAAGAGUCGAGUUGUUUGGGAAUGCAGCUCAAAAUGGGUGGUAAAUUCCAUCUAAAGCUAAAUAUUGGCGAGAGACCGAUAGCGAACAAGUACCGUGAGGGAAAGAUGAAAAGCACUUUGGAAAGAGAGUUAAACAGUAUGUGAAAUUGUUAAAAGGGAAACGAUUGAAGUCAAUCAUGUCCUUGGGUCUUACCACCCUUGGAUGGGGUCAACAUCAGUUUUGAUCGGUGGAUAAGGAUAGGAGGAAGGUAGCACUCUCGGGUGAACUUAUAGCCUCCUGUCGCAUACACUGGUUGAGACUGAGGUCUGCUAUUACAGGAUGUUGACAUAAUGGCUUUAAACGACCCGUCUUG